GGCGGUUGGCCGCACUGUCCUCUGCACGGGGGACGCAGGCCAGCUGCCAGGCCUCGACGACAAUGCCCCCCCUCUGCCCUUGGGAAGGCUUUGGGGCCGGGCAGACCCGCCGCCCGCAGCCACUCCGCCUCUGCCCUCUCUGCCCCACAGCCCGGCCAUCGCUGCCCGCCUUGGCGGGCUCCUGUCGGGAUAGGGUAGGGCCACCGCCGGUCUGGUUAUGGGCCGCCCUCUGGGCACCGAGCAGCCCCCCGAGCCCUGACCGACCACGAGGACCCGGGAGGAUCGAUGCCUCUGGAGCCUCCAGCGAACUCAGUGGAAACCAUGGCUUCUUUGACUGGGGCUAGGCUGCCCUCCUUUCUCUACAUCUCCUUGCAGAGACAGAAUGGCCCCGGGCAGCGUGUAAUCAGGGAGGUGAACACCACCACCAGGGCCUGUGCUCUUUGGGGCCUGGCUGAAGACAGCGACUACACAGUGCAGGUCAGGAGCAUCGGCCUCUGGGAAGAGAGGCCCCCAGGGCCCCGUGUGCACUUCCAAACUCUCAAGGUUUCUGACAGGCUGCCCUCCAAAAGCUCCAGCCCAUGACUCACUGCGCUUACCCAGGUCCUGUGUGCACCUUCGAGAACCCACUAGGUGACCUUAUGACGUAUGUCGCCUGUAUGUCAACCACUAGCGCCGCCAAUGCAGGCCUGUUGUCUGCAUCAUGCAGUUGAAGCACCCGAGAACCCUGUUGAGCCCUCAGGUGAGGAAUCCCAUGCCUCUCCCAUUCCCGACCACCAGGCAUUACAAAACAAAACAAAACAAAAACAGGAACAGAAGUUGACACUUUUGAGCUUCUACUCCUGGAGAAGACUGUAAAAGCUCGCUCUGCAGUCGAUGUGCAUCGCUGACUGACGGCUAAAUGCUGUCAUUGCAUCGCAUACAUCAGUUGAGUGCCAGGCCCAACUUAGGCUCUACGGGAUCAAAUCUACCUGCAUUACGUCAAGACUUUUUCUGGAGGGAAAGGCGCAUAUAUAGAUCACGAUCACAGCUCUAC